GGCAGGUGCAGGCUGAUUUGUAAUCAGCAGGUCGCGGGUUCGACUCCUGUCCCCGCCU
rnacentral:tRNA from 1 species